rnacentral:rRNA from 1 species
UGGGGAAUUUUGGACAAUGGGCGAAAGCCUGAUCCAGCAAUGCCGCGUGUGUGAAGAAGGCCUUCGGGUUGUAAAGCACUUUUGUCCGGAAAGAGAUCCUUGGCUCUAAUACAGUCGGGGGAUGACGGUACCGGAAGAAUAAGCACCGGCUAACUACGUGCCAGCAGCCGCGGUAAUACGUAGGGUGCAAGCGUUAAUCGGAAUUACUGGGCGUAAAGCGUGCGCAGGCGGUUUGCUAAGACCGAUGUGAAAUCCCCGGGCUCAACCUGGGAACUGCAUUGGUGACUGGCAGGCUAGAGUAUGGCAGAGGGGGGUAGAAUUCCACGUGUAGCAGUGAAAUGCGUAGAGAUGUGGAGGAAUACCGAUGGCGAAGGCAGCCCCCUGGGCCAAUACUGACGCUCAUGCACGAAAGCGUGGGGAGCAAAACAGGAUUAGAUACCCCUGGUAGUCCACGCCCUAAACGAUGUCAACUAGUUGUUGGGGGAUUCAUUUCCUUAGUAACGUAGCUAACGCGUGAAGUUGACCGCCUGGGGAGUACGGUCGCAAGAUUAAAACUCAAAGGAUUGACGGGGCUCAUAGCUGUUUUCCUG